rnacentral:rRNA from 1 species
GUACAGGUCUUCGGAUGCUGACGAGUGGCGAACGGGUGAGUAAUACAUCGGAACGUGCCUAGUAGUGGGGGAUAACUACUCGAAAGAGUAGCUAAUACCGCAUGAGAUCUACGGAUGAAAGCAGGGGACCUUCGGGCCUUGUGCUACUAGAGCGGCUGAUGGCAGAUUAGGUAGUUGGUGGGGUAAAGGCUUACCAAGCCUGCGAUCUGUAGCUGGUCUGAGAGGACGACCAGCCACACUGGGACUGAGACACGGCCCAGACUCCUACGGGAGGCAGCAGUGGGGAAUU